rnacentral:rRNA from 1 species
GAUGAACGCUGGCGGCGUGCCUAAUACAUGCAAGUCGAGCGAACGGACGAGAAGCUUGCUUCUCUGAUGUUAGCGGCGGAUGGGUGAGUAACACGUGGAUAACCUACCUAUAAGACUGGGAUAACUUCGGGAAACCGGAGCUCAUACCGGAUAAUAUUUUGAACCGGAUGGAUCAAAAGUGAAAGACGGUCUUGCUGUCACUUAUAGAUGGAUCCGCGCUGCAUUAGCUAGUUGGUAAGGUAACGGCUUACCAAGGCAACGAUGCAUAGCCGACCUGAGAGGGUGAUCGGCCACACUGGAACUGAGACACGGUCCAGACUCCUACGGGAGGCAGCAGUAGGGAAUCUUCGGCAAUGGGCGGAAGCCUGACGGAGCAACGCCGCGUGAGUGAUGAAGGUCUUCGGAUCGUAAAACUCUGUUAUUAGGGAAGAACAUAUGUGUAAGUAACUGUGCACGUCUUGACGGUACCUAAUCAGAAAGCCACGGCUAACUACGUG